GGAACCUUCCAGUGAGACUCCACAACCUGCAGAGUUGCAUGGCACCUCUCAAGAGAAGGGGAUAUAAAGUGCUCCUAUCUGUCAGAAGCUGCAGCAUGUGCUGGCACAGAUUUCCCACCCUCUAGUCGUGGAUCCUCUUGUGCCAAAAUGAAAGCCUGGUGUCUUGUGCUAAAAAAUAUAAGAAUGAUUGAACCUUCAGCAUAUCACCUAUCAAAUGAUCUCUGCAUGAAGAAUUAGAUGUGAAAACUAGCUUCUGGGAGAGGCAAGACUGAAGUGCCUCAUGAAGUGCUUAACAAGACAGCUGAACAAGACACAUUUUCAAUUCCAUUUAUCUAUUAAAAUUAUUUCUUGAGGACCUUGUGAAGGUUUGAUUUAAAGGUAUAUUAGAAGAACUAUGUUAAAGACUGCUAGAAGGCUUUAAAUUAAAUGUUCUUAUGAAGUAAACCCUAAGUUUAAUCAUUUAUCAUGCAUGUUUGGGUUGAAAAGCAUUACAAUGUGUGUUAUAUACGCACAUGUAAGUAUUAACAUAAGUAAACGGGAUUGAUUGGAUUGAGUCUUAGAGUAUAUAUUCUGUUCCCCAAAAGACGUUUGUCUUAAGGAACUCUAAUUACAGAGAAAAUUUAAAAUCAUAGAAUCAUAAUCAUUUCCAGCUAUCACUCAGUGGUUUAGUUCACUUCUCUAAGUACCAGUUACUUUGUAUUCAGAUAUGUACUUUAAAUAAUUAACAGUUAUAUAUGGAAUUACGUGUACAUUCAUUAUACUUUUUAAUGAUGUUCCACAAUACAUAAAUGUGCAUCCUGAAUGCCCAUCCUUAAUAUUCUCCAGAUCAUCCUGAGAACAUACUGAACAGCUGUAGGCCAAUACCUC
rnacentral:lncRNA from 1 species